GACGAACGCUGGCGGCGUGCUUAACACAUGCAAGUCGAACGGAAAGGCCUUUUCGGCGGUACUCGAGUGGCGAACGGGUGAGUAACACGUGGGUGAUCUGCCCUGCACUCUGGGAUAAGCCUGGGAAACUGGGUCUAAUACCGGAUAGGACCGCACUUUAGUGUGUGUGGUGGAAAGUUUUUUCGGUGUAGGAUGAGCCCGCGGCCUAUCAGCUUGUUGGUGGGGUAAUGGCCUACCAAGGCGGCGACGGGUAGCCGGACUGAGAGGUUGGUCGGCCACAUUGGGACUGAGAUACGGCCCAGACGCCUACGGGAGGCAGCAGUGGGGAAGAUUGCACAAUGGGCGCAAGCCUGAUGCAGCGACGCCGCGUGGGGGAUGACGGCCUUCGGGUUGUAAACUCCUUUCGCCAGGGACGAAGCGUUUUGUGACGGUACCUGGAGAAGAAGCACCGGCUAACUACGUG
rnacentral:rRNA from 1 species